CAGCCACAUCACAUUGAAACACUAGUUCUCAUACGAUCACCAAAGUUAAGCAAUGUCGAGCCUGAUCAGUACCUACAUGAGUGACUGCUUGGGAAUACCAGGUGCUGUAA